GCCAAACCCCUUUUUGUUCCUUGCCUCUUAGGCCCGGCCGAGCCAUACGAGGCUAAUUAACCGUAAGGAGCGAUUCAUG
rfam:Ferrimonas marina strain DSM 16917 genome assembly, contig: EK02DRAFT_scaffold00005.5